rnacentral:rRNA from 1 species
UGGGGAAUAUUGGACAAUGGGCGAAAGCCUGAUCCAGCCAUGCCGCGUGUGUGAAGAAGGCCUUUUGGUUGUAAAGCACUUUAAGCGAGGAGGAGGCUACUAGUACUAAUACUACUGGAUAGUGGACGUUACUCGCAGAAUAAGCACCGGCUAACUCUGUGCCAGCAGCCACGGUAAUACAGAGGGUGCGAGCGUUAAUCGGAUUUACUGGGCGUAAAGCGUGCGUAGGCGGCUGAUUAAGUCGGAUGUGAAAUCCCUGAGCUUAACUUAGGAAUUGCAUUCGAUACUGGUCAGCUAGAGUAUGGGAGAGGAUGGUAGAAUUCCAGGUGUAGCGGUGAAAUGCGUAGAGAUCUGGAGGAAUACCGAUGGCGAAGGCAGCCAUCUGGCCUAAUACUGACGCUGAGGUACGAAAGCAUGGGGAGCAAACAGG